GGGAAGGUGGCUCAGUGGUAUAGUGCCUGCCUUCAAUGCAUGAGGCCUUGGGUUCAAUUCCUCCACCCCA
rnacentral:tRNA from 1 species